UGUGCCUACGGGACGCAGCAGUGGGGGAUAUUGCACAAUGGGGGAAACCCUGAUGCAGCGACGCCGCGUGGGCGAAGAAGUAUUUCGGUAUGUAAAGCCCUAUCAGCAGGGAAGAAGAAAUGACGGUACCUGAGUAAGAAGCACCGGCUAAAUACGUGCCAGCAGCCGCGGUAAUACGUAUGGUGCAAGCGUUAUCCGGAUUUAUUGGGUUUAAAGGGUGCGCAGGCGGCGUGUCAAGUCAGCGGUAAAAUGUCGGGGCUCAACCCCGGCCGGCCGUUGAAACUGGCGUGCUCGAGUUGGAGAGA
rnacentral:rRNA from 1 species